GUUGCUAAGUGUGUUCAUCUCAAAUCUAAAAGCCACUUUCAUAACAACAACUUUGCUAUUCCUUAGCAUUUUGUCUCUUUAGGCAGCUUAUUUCCCAGUCAAAGUUAUAAUUUUGUAUUCAUAAUACCAUAAUCAUUUCCAUGGUAACUUCCUGUGAAGUCACAGAGAAAACACUAUUGACUUCUCCUGAGGCUCUGAUUUCCCAGUUGAAAUCAUAUGUUGAUUUUAUUUUUUCCAAUGUAAGUCAAAGAUUUACUAUUAAAAAUCCUGGGGAUGAGGUCUUAACACAGAAAACCCAUCUGUCGUCGCUACAGAGGACUACUAUGAAGAAAGCGCCUGGCAUAAUCUUGGCACAUCGAAGGCAUUCAAAAAAUACCAGUCGUCUCUCUUCACUCCCUCUAACUCUAACUCAUUUUAACCUCAUUUAAACUUUGAGGAAAAAGAACUCAAGGUCAGACAAGGCUUGGUUCAACACCCUGAGCUGGGUUGGCUUGACAGGACUAGCACUAGACCUGACCCAGAGGUAAAGGCAAUUGUGGGAAGAGCGGACGGACCUGGGAAGAAAUCUAGAAGCCAACGAGCAGAACACCAAAGCUUGUCACUGGGCAACAGAGAACUGGUCCAACAAAGCUGUCACCAUCAGAAAUGUGUGUCACCAGGUCAGAGAAACAGGAAAUCAAGGCAGGUAACGGGAGACAAAAUCAAGGAAAGUCAGUUGGCAAAAGGGCCCAGGACACGAGUCUGGAACUCGGGUAACUGAAAGAAUAGGAAGUACUAGAGACAGAAAGAAAAGCCUAAACCUGAAAGGUGUACAAGACAAGUUACUAAACCAGGG
rnacentral:lncRNA from 1 species